rnacentral:rRNA from 1 species
ACUGCCCCGGACAACGGGGAGGAAGGUGGGGAUGACGUCAAGUCCGCAUGGCUCCUUACGUCUAGGGCUACACACGUCCUACAAAUGGGGUCGACAGUGGGAUGCAAAGCCGCGAGGUGGAGACCAAUCCCCAAACGGCCUCUCAGUUCGGAUAGUAGUCUGCAACUCGACUACUUGAAGUCGGAAUCGCUAGUAAUGGCGGAUCAGCAUGCCGCCGUGAAUACGUUCCCGGGUCUU